UUCCUGAGCGUAGCAAAAGUUCAUCUGAACAUUCGGGUUUUUGAUGUUUGCAAUUUUUGAGUGUAUAACAACAAACAUAAUAAUGUAAGAUUGGUUUAAUAGAAUUUUUUUUUCUUUUUUAGGAAGAUAUUUUAAAUUAAAAAAUAAGCAAAAAUUAAAUCAUGCCCACACAUCUUUUCAACUGCACCAGUGGAUAAUAAUCCUCUUCAGGAAAUAAAUUCUGAAUUUCAGUAAUUACUGUAUUGGUUUCAUUCCUUACUAAAAUCAAUGAAAAUAGCAUUCUAUCGCUGAACUAAUACGCAAAUUAAUUCAUGAUCUCCAUGAAAAACUGUGGAAGCGUGGGUAAACGGCGGGAGUAACUAUGACUCUCUUAAGGUAGCCAAAUGCCUCGUCAUCUAAUUCGUGACGCGCAUGAAUGGAUUAACGAGAUUCCCACUGUCCCUAUCUACUAUCUAGCGAAACCACAGCCAAGGGAACGGGCUUGG
rnacentral:ncRNA from 1 species